GGGUUGUUGACAGGUGACAACAGGCGAACUAGGUCUCAUCCGGGCUACAUUUUAGCGGCUCAUAACCGCUUGGUUGGGGGUUCGAGUCCCUCCGGGCCCACCA
rnacentral:tRNA from 1 species